rnacentral:rRNA from 1 species
UACGUAGGGAGCAAGCGUUGUUCGGAUUUACUGGGCGUAAAGGGCGCGUAGGCGGCGCGGUAAGUCACUUGUGAAAUCUCUGAGCUUAACUCAGAACGGCCAAGUGAUACUGCAGUGCUAGAGUGCAGAAGGGGCAAUCGGAAUUCUUGGUGUAGCGGUGAAAUGCGUAGAUAUCAGGAGGAACACCUGCGGUGUAGACGGCUUACUGGACGGUAACUGACGCUGAGGCACGAAAGCGUGGGUAGCAAACAGG